CGGAAGGUGAUUCUGGCGACAGACGAAGACUUCGGACUGGAGGACGACCUGCAAGCCAUAAGCUGGUCCCAAGACAGGAGUGAGGGGGACUGGUACACGCAACCCGAGACAUCCCAAAAGGGUGAUGUUUGACAUCAAGACCAAAUGCAGGCGGAAAGCAACAGGCAUCUGAGGUGAGUGGCAGCGGAUCCUGCAGACAGUAGUGAAGUGUGCCAUCGCCGAGACGGGGUUCGACCCUAACACAUACUACAAAGGUGGACACCCUAGGCGCACGAACAUCGAUCCCAACCAGCAGUGCCCCACACAAGCCCCCGACUCGUCUGAUGACAACUUCUCCAGCUCAUCUGAUGACGACUCGACCAGCUCAUCUGAUGAAGACUCGACCAGCUCAUCUGAUGACGACUCCCCCGGCUCGUGUGAUGACGACUCCAGCUCAUCUGAUGACGACGUCACCAUCGAAGUCGACAACGACUCGACGGACCCCAAACCCACCAACGACACCGACAGUGACGACGAGGAGAGUCCAGUCAUCCGCCGGAGAAAGCGGAGGCGGCGACCCGCGCAUGUUAUGGCGACUCCGGCGGAGAAGAGGACUCGCGUGCCGAAAGUGCCGUACACGCCGAUGUAAAUAGCGAAGCAUUAUAAAUUAAAAAGAACUUGACUUUUGUGCAGCUCUUUCGCGAUAAAACAGGAAUUGAACUGAAUGGACUGAUCGUAACUGAAUGGACUGAUCGUAUGACCAUGUUAACUGUAUAGUUGAUAAAACUGGAUACGACUGUUAAUAUAGUGCUAUACAAU